ensembl:snRNA U6 U6 spliceosomal RNA
GUGCUCCCUUCAGCAGCACACAGACUAAAAUUGGAACCGUACAGAGAAAGCAUGGCCCUUGCACAAGGAUGACAUGCAAAUUCGUGAAGUGGCCCAUAUAUAU